ACGGAAGGCAGCAGUGGGGAAUAUUAGGCAAUGGGGGCAACCCUGACCUAGCAACGCCGCGUGAAGGAAGAAGGCCUUCGGGUUGUAAACUUCUUUUAUAGGGGACGAAACAAAUGACGGUACCCUAUGAAUAAGCCACGGCUAACUACGUGCCAGCAGCCGCGGUAAUACGUAGGUGGCAAGCGUUGUCCGGAUUUACUGGGUGUAAAGGGCGCGUAGGCGGGAUGGCAAGUCAGAUGUGAAAUCCAUGGGCUCAACCCAUGAACUGCAUUUGAAUCUGUCGUUCUUGAGUGUCGGAGAGGCAAGCGGAAUUCCUAGUGUAGCGGUGAAAUGCGUAGAUAUUAGGAGGAACACCAGUGGCGAAGGCGGCUUGCUGGACGAUAACUGUCGCUGAGGCGCGAAAGCGUGGGGAGCA
rnacentral:rRNA from 1 species